rnacentral:rRNA from 1 species
GUUUACGGCCAUGCCACCCUGAACGUGCCCGAUCUUGUCUGAUCUCAGAAGCUAAGCAGGGUCGGGCCUGGUUAGUACUUGGAUGGGAGACCACCUAGGAAUAUCAGGUGCUAUAGACA